UACGUAGGUGGCAAGCGUUGUCCGGAUUUACUGGGCGUAAAGAGCGCGCAGGCGGUCGGUCAAGUCGCGUGUGAAAGCCCCCGGCUCAACUGGGGAGGGUCACGCGAUACUGCUCGACUCGAAGGCAGGAGAGGGAAGUGGAAUUCCCGGUGUAGUGGUGAAAUGCGUAGAUAUCGGGAGGAACACCAGUGGCGAAGGCGACUUCCUGGCCUGUUCUUGACGCUGAGGCGCGAAAGCUAGGGUAGCAAACGGG
rnacentral:rRNA from 1 species